GAGCUCAGUAGGUAAAGCAUUAGAUUCUUAAUCCCAGGGUCGUGAGUUCGAUCCCCACAUUGGGCA